rnacentral:rRNA from 2 species
UAACAAGGAUUCCCCUAGUAACUGCGAGUGAAGCGGGAAAAGCUCAAAUUUAAAAUCUGGCAGCUUUGGCUGUCCGAGUUGUAGUCUGGAGAAGCGUUUUCUGUGCUGGACCGUGUACAAGUCUCUUGGAAUAGAGCGUCAUAGAGGGUGAGAAUCCCGUCUUUGACACGGACUGCCAGUGCUUUGUGAUGCGCUCUCAAAGAGUCGAGUUGUUUGGGAAUGCAGCUCAAAAUGGGUGGUAAAUUCCAUCUAAAGCUAAAUAUUGGCGAGAGACCGAUAGCGAACAAGUACCGUGAGGGAAAGAUGAAAAGCACUUUGGAAAGAGAGUUAAACAGUACGUGAAAUUGUUGAAAGGGAAACGCUUGAAGUCAGUCGCGUGUGCUAGAACUCAGCCUGGUUUUUACUUGGUGCAUUUUCUGGUACACGGGCCAGCAUCAAUUUUGACCGCUGGAUAAAGGCCUCAGGAAGGUGGCACCUUCGGGUGUGUUAUAGCCUGGGGUUGUAUACAGCGGUUGGGAUUGAGGAUCUCAGCAUGCCUUUUGGCCGGGGUUCGCCCACGUUCAUGCUUAGGAUGCUGGCGUAAUGGCUUUAAACGAC